ACGCUCGACACCUACGGGAGGUAGCAGUGGGGAAUAUUGCACAAUGGGGGAAACCCUGAUGCAGCGACGCCGCGUGAAGGAAGAAGUAUCUCGGUAUGUAAACUUCUAUCAGCAGGGAAGAAAAUGACGGUAUCUGACUAAGAAGCCCCGGCUAACUACGUGCCAGCAGCCACGGUAAUCUGAGCGGGCUGGCAAGGC
rnacentral:rRNA from 1 species